rnacentral:rRNA from 1 species
CCUACGGGAGGCAGCAGUAGGGAAUCUUCCGCAAUGGACGAAAGUCUGACGGAGCAACGCCGCGUGAACGAUGAAGGCCUUCGGGUCGUAAAGUUCUGUUGUUAGGGAAGAACAAGUGCUAGUUAAAUAAGCUGGCACCUUGACGGUACCUAACCAGAAAGCCACGGCUAACUACGUGCCAGCAGCCGCGGUAAUACGUAGGUGGCAAGCGUUGUCCGGAAUUAUUGGGCGUAAAGCGCGCGCAGGCGGUUUCUUAAGUCUGAUGUGAAAGCCCCCGGCUCAACCGGGGAGGGUCAUUGGAAACUGGGAAACUUGAGUGCAGAAGAGGAAAGUGGAAUUCCAAGUGUAGCGGUGAAAUGCGUAGAGAUUUGGAGGAACACCAGUGGCGAAGGCGACUUUCUGGUCUGUAACUGACGCUGAGGCGCGAAAGCGUGGGGAGCAAACAGGAUUAGAUACCCUGGUAGUCCACGCUGUAAACGAUGAGUGCUAAGUGUUAGAGGGUUUCCGCCCUUUAGUGCUGAAGUUAACGCAUUAAGCACUCCGCCUGGGGAGUACGGUCGCAAGACUGAAACUCAAGAAUUGA